rnacentral:rRNA from 1 species
GAUGAACGCUGACAGAAUGCUUAACACAUGCAAGUCAACUGUGGCGGACGGGUGAGUAACGCGUAAAGAACUUGCCUCACAGAUAGGGACAACAUUUGGAAACGAAUGCUAAUACCUGAUACUGUGAGAGAGCUUUGCGUCCCAUUAGCUAGUUGGAGAGGUAACGGCUCACCAAGGCGAGGAUGGGUAGCCGGCCUGAGAGGGUGAUCGGCCACAAGGGGACUGGGACACCACCCUUACUCAACCGGGAGGCAGCGGUGGGGAAUAUUGGACAAUGGACCAAAGUCUGAUCAAGCAAUUCUGUGUGCACAAUGAAGUUUUCGGAAUGUAAAGGGCUUGCAGUUGAGAAGCGGUACCGACAGAAGAAGUGACGGCUAAAUACGUGCCAGCAGCCGCGGUAAUAC